UACGGAGGGUGCAAGCGUUGCUCGGAAUUAUUGGGCGUAAAGGGUAGGUAGGUGGUCUCAUUUGUCUGGGGUGAAAGCCUUGAGCUUAACUCAAGGAGUGCCCCAGAAACGGUGAGACUAGAGUCCUGGAGAGGGUCGUGGAAUUCCCGGUGUAGCGGUGAAAUGCGUAGAGAUCGGGAGGAACACCAGAGGCGAAGGCGGCGACCUGGACAGGUACUGACACUCAACUACGAAAGCGUGGGGAGCAAACAGG
rnacentral:rRNA from 1 species